GGAAAGGUGGCAGAGUGGUCGAAUGCGCCGGACUCGAAAUCCGGUAUAGGGUAACUCCCUAUCGUGGGUUCGAAUCCCACCCUUUCCG
rnacentral:tRNA from 1 species